GUCCCACCUGGGUUGGUUGCUCCUGAAGGCCCUCCUGGCCACAUCCUCCCACUCUCUUCUGCCUUCUCCAUUCGCCCCAGCCCGUGAGCACCUCUCCCUCCCCGAGUCUCCAUGAUGCUUACACCCAGCAGCCUUUAAUAUGACUUAGAAUAGAAUCUGCUGGAAAAUGGGCUCCAUGUGGGCAGUGACUGCAGUGGAGUUUGCUAGCUGUCUGCCCAAAUCCCUUCUACCUGCCUUCCAUGGUAACAUGGCUGCCCUGCCAAGCAUCAACGCCCAGCCCCGCCUGCAGUGAAGAACUGCUGGGUAAAAGUUCUUGCCAGUGGAAAUGAUGUGUGAAAAUUCAGGCAGGGCUGUUUAGUCAGGAGGUCUGCCUCUUUCUGGACCCAGCCUUGACCUUGUAAUGACGAUGAUUGCACAGGAUGACAGAACCACAGCAGAGACGGCGCCAGGGUCCCUGAGUUAUCACAUGGAGCAGAAAGCUACUGCUGACCCGCAAUACUCUCUUCAUACUCUUAUCUAAGGAGGACAGUCACUGAUGAUGACAGCGUCACCAACACUGCACGAUGGGAUCAACUAGGAGGGGAAGGACCUGAAGUUGAGCAUCAUGAUUACAGGAACCCAAUCCAGCCCAUGCUAGAGCGUCAUAAAGACCCUGAGCUUUGUAAUCAUGCAGACCUCUCUGCCACUCACCAGCUGUGCAUCUUUGGCUCUCCACGUGUGUCCAGCAACUGAGUUGGGGCUAAAGAAAACUGCAAAGCCUUUGCCUCGAAGGGUCCCCACAGCAGGACGAUCUCACUGCACCCGUCUUCCUGGCCAGCUCACU